GAUGAACGCUAGCGGCAGGCUUAACACAUGCAAGUCGAGGGGUAGAGGAAGCUUGCUUCCUUGAGACCGGCGCACGGGUGCGUAACGCGUAUACAAUCUACCUUUUACAGAGGGAUAGCCCAGAGAAAUUUGGAUUAAUACCUCAUAGUAUUUUCGGAUCGCAUGAUUUGAUUAUUAAAGUUCCAACGGUAAAAGAUGAGUAAUGCGUCCAUUAGCUAGAUCGGUAAGGUAACGGCUUACCAAUGGCAAUGAUGGUAGGGGUCCUGAGAGGGAGAUCCCCACACUGGUACUGAGACACGGACCAGACUCCU
rnacentral:rRNA from 1 species